rnacentral:rRNA from 1 species
GAUGAACGCUGGCGGCGUGCCUAAUACAUGCAAGUCGAGCGAAUGGAUUAAGAGCUUGCUCUUAUGAAGUUAGCGGCGGACGGGUGAGUAACACGUGGGUAACCUGCCCAUAAGACUGGGAUAACUCCGGGAAACCGGGGCUAAUACCGGAUAACAUUUUGAACCGCAUGGUUCGAAAUUGAAAGGCGGCUUCGGCUGUCACUUAUGGAUGGACCCGCGUCGCAUUAGCUAGUUGGUGAGGUAACGGCGCACCAAGGCAACGAUGCGUAGCCGAACUGAGAGGGUGGUUGGUCACACUGGGACUGAGACACGGCCCAGACUCCUACGGGAGGCAGCAGUAGGGAAUCUUCCGCAAUGGACGAAAGUCUGACGGAGCAACGCCGCGUGAGUGAUGAAGGCUUUCGGGUCGUAAAACUCUGUUGUUAGGGAAGAACAAGUGCUAGUUGAAUAAGCUGGCACCUUGACGGUACCUAACCAGAAAGCCACGGCUAACUACGUGCCAGCCGCCGCGGUAA